rnacentral:rRNA from 1 species
CGUGUCGUGAGACGUCCACUUAAGUGUGGUAACGAGCGCAACCCUUAUCGUAUGUUACAAGUGUCAUACGAGACUGCUCCCGCUUUGCGGGGGAGGAAGGAGAGGAUGAUGUCAAGUCAGCAUGUCCCUUACAUCCAGGGCAACACACAUCCUACAAUGGAGCCGACAAUGGGUAGCGACGGGGUGACCCCGAGCCAAUCCUCUAAACGGCCCCUCAAUUCGGAUUGCAGGCUGAAAUUCGCCUGCAUGAAGCCGGAAUCGGUAGUAAUCGCAAAUCAGCAGGUUGCGGUGAAUACGUUCUCGCUCCUUGUACACACUGCCCGUCAAGCCAGCAAAGUCAGCAACGCCCGAAGCGGGUGUUCGGAACCGCAAGGACCGACCCUUCUACGGCGAGGUUGGCGAUGAGGACUAAGUCGUAACAAGGUAUCUGUACUGGAAGGUGCGGAUGGAUUACCUCCUUU